UACUUUUGCUACUCGACCCGUGCCCGAGUACUCGUGGAGACCCUAUUACCUAAAUUUACAUUUUAUAUCACUGUUUAUUUAUAUGGUUGAUUAUCUUUAUUACCAAGAAUUUCUUUUAAAGUCAUACGCGCGCAUGUUGACAGAAUUCACUAUUUUGUUUGAAGUGAUCCGGAACUGGCGCUUCACCUGUAUUCUUCAAAGUUCAAGUGAUGAACAAACAUCAAUUUUAUGGAUACUAGAAUGAGUUUCUUGGAGUGCUAUAAUGUCAUAUUUCCUCAAAUAUGCUUGGAUCUCAGGGUUUUCCAGUUUUUUUUGCAAGUCCAUCAAUAUUCCAAGACAAAAAUGACAUUAAUUCAUGAUACAUAUCUAUGCUAGCUGGUUACAAAUAUAAUAUACAAUGAAAGACAUGCUAUGGUGAAGGUCAGCGGAUGUGACGUGAAACAAAAGAAACCAUGACAACGAGACCGGAACUAUAAAGGUUGAUGUACAAAAUUGAAAAUAACUAAACUCAUUCUGGAGGGUUGGUGGCCCUUAAAAGGGCCGAUGGCGGGUGACUAGCGAUACCAGUAGUAUUUCAUAUAGGUGACAUCAGCACAGCAAAUUACCCAGCAAAGCUUGCACCAAAUGUUGCGAGCCUUGCGUGUUUCCUUGACUUCAAUUUCAUCAAAACAAUCAAAAUUUAAAAAUUUUGAUGGACCUGGAACGGGGUCGUCCGGCUUCGAAGAAACCGCCCGUUCCGGCUUCGAUGAAACCUUCGGCAUUGGAUUGACACGAUUCUUCCGACUGAAGAACCUAGAAAUUUUCCGCACUGACAUAUCUUGAGAUUUGGAAUAAAUACAGAUAACGUAAUUGUUUCAGCACCGUCUUUAUAUACUGGUCGUGCGGACGUAACAGAAGCACAUCUGUCGAGUUCUAAAGACGUCUUGUCGUUGAUUAAUAACUGUGUUUUUGCGUCUCAGAUUAUAUUAUUUAAAACUUUAUUGACAUCAUGUUAGCUCCGAAAAAAUAUUAAAAAUAGUUUCCCAAUA